rnacentral:rRNA from 1 species
AGUGAACGCUGGCGGUAGGCCUAACACAUGCAAGUCGAACGGCAGCACAGUAAUAGCUUGCUCUUACGGGUGGCGAGUGGCGGACGGGUGAGGAAUACAUCGGAAUCUACUUUUUCGUGGGGGAUAACGUAGGGAAACUUACGCUAAUACCGCAUAUGACCUACGGGUGAAGGCAGGGGAUCUUCGGACCUUGCGGGUUUGAAUGAGCGGAUGUCGGAUUAGCUAGUUGGCGGGGUAAAGGCCCACCAAGGCGACGAUCCGUAGCUGGUCUGAGAGGAUGAUCAGCCACACUGGAACUGAGACACGGUCCAGACUCCUACGGGAGGCAGCAGUGGGGAAUAUUGGACAAUGGGCGCAAGCCUGAUCCAGCCAUACCGCGUGGGUGAAGAAGGCCUUCGGGUUGUAAAGCCCUUUUGUUGGGAAAGAAAAGCAGCAGGUUAAUACCCCGCUGUUCUGACGGUACCCAAAGAAUAAGCACCGGCUAACUUCGUG